UUAUGGCUCAGGAUGAACGCUAGCGGCAGGCUUAACACAUGCAAGUCGAGGGGCAGCGCGGGAUAGCAAUAUCCUGGCGGCGACCGGCGGAAGGGUGCGUAACGCGUGAGCAACAUGCCCGUUGCCCGGGGACAACCGGUGGAAACGCCGACUAAUCCCCGAUGGGAUACGAUGCUGCAUGGCAUUGUAUUGAAAGUUACGGCGGCGACGGAUUGGCUCGCGUCCGAUUAGCUGGUUGGCGGGGUGACGGCCCACCAAGGCUACGAUCGGUAGGGGUUCUGAGAGGAAGGCCCCCCACAAUGGGACUGAGACACGGCCCAUACUCCUACGGGAGGCAGCAGUGAGGAAUAUUGGUCAAUGGGCGGAAGCCUGAACCAGCCAUGCCGCGUGCGGGAAGGAGGCCCUAUGGGCUGUAAACCGCUUUUGCCUGGGGGCAAUAAGGGCGUCGCGCACGUCCGAUGAGAGUACCAGGCGAAUAAGCAUCGGCUAACUCCGUGCCAGCAGCCGCGGUAAUACGGGGGAUGCGAGCGUUAUCCGGAUUCAUUGGGUUUAAAGGGUGCGUAGGCUGUGCGUCAAGUCGGGGGUGAAAUUCCGGUGCUCAACACCGGGGCUGCCCUUGAUACUGUCGCGCUGGAGUGCGGAUGCCGCCGGAGGAAUGAGUGGUGUAGCGGUGAAAUGCUUAGAUAUCACUCAGAACACCGAUUGCGAAGGCAUCUGGCGAAUCCGUAACUGACGCUGAGGCACGAAAGCGUGGGGAUAGAACAGGAUUAGAUACCCUGGUAUUCCACGCCGUAAACGAUGAUGGCUAACCGCCGGCGACACACUGUCGGUGGCCAAGCGAAAGCGAUAAGCCAUCCACCUGGGGAGUACGUCGGCAACGAUGCAACUCAAAGGAAUUGACGG
rnacentral:rRNA from 1 species